CUUCCCCGGAUGUUCAGCGCGACGACGGCGGUGAGCGAGGAGGACGCGGAGGGAGGGAUUGAAUACCGGGACAAGAGUCACUACCCGGGAAUAAACACCCAUCCCGGGACUAUGUUUGAUGACUGAAAGCCUGCGUAUGCCUGAAAUCAUUAGCUGCUGCCAUCUUUGCUCAUGAGAAAAUGUCGGAUUUGGGGAAAGAAUUGGUUGUACAAUGUACCAAUGUUCGAAAAUCUCAAUCAAGGAAAGUACCAGAACUUCCCAUUCUGGAAAGGCGGAACUGGCUGAUACAUUUGCAUUAUAUCAGAAAGGACUAUGAAACCUGCAAGGCAAUAAUCAAAGAACAGCUGCAGGAGACCCAUGGAAUGUGUGAAUAUGCUGUGUAUGUACAAG